AGUCGAGCGGUAACAGGAAUUAGCUUGCUAAUUUGCUGACGAGCGGCGGACGGGUGAGUAACGCGUAGGAAUCUGCCUGGUAGUGGGGGACAACAUGUGGAAACGCAUGCUAAUACCGCAUACGCCCUACGGGGGAAAGGAGGGGAUCUUCGGACCUUUCGCUAUCAGAUGAGCCUGCGUGAGAUUAGCUAGUUGGUGGGGUAAAGGCUCACCAAGGCGACGAUCUCUAGCUGGUCUGAGAGGAUGAUCAGCCACACUGGGACUGAGACACGGCCCAGACUCCUACGGGAGGCAGCAGUGGGGAAUAUUGGACAAUGGGCGCAAGCCUGAUCCAGCCAUGCCGCGUGUGUGAAGAAGGCCUCCGGGUUGUAAAGCACUUUCAGAGGUGAGGAAGGGUGUGCCGUUAAUACCGGUAUGCUUUGACGUUAGCCUCAGAAGAAGCACCGGCUAACUCUGUGCCAGCAGCCGCGGUAAUACAGAGGGUGCGAGCGUUAAUCGGAAUUACUGGGCGUAAAGCGCGCGUAGGUGGUUUGUUAAGUCGGAUGUGAAAGCCCAGGGCUCAACCUUGGAAUUGCACCCGAUACUGGCAGGCUAGAGUACGGUAGAGGGGUGUGGAAUUUCCUGUGUAGCGGUGAAAUGCGUAGAUAUAGGAAGGAACAUCAGUGGCGAAG
rnacentral:rRNA from 1 species